CCUAACACAUGCAAGUCGAACGAACCCUUCGGGGUUAGUGGCGCACGGGUGCGUAACGCGUGGGAAUCUGCCCUUUGCUUCGGAAUAACAGUUAGAAAUGACUGCUAAUACCGGAUGAUGACUUCGGUCCAAAGAUUUAUCGGCAAAGGAUGAGCCCGCGUAGGAUUAGGUAGUUGGUGGGGUAAAGGCCUACCAAGCCGACGAUCCUUAGCUGGUCUGAGAGGAUGAUCAGCCACACUGGGACUGAGACACGGCCCAGACUCCUACGGGAGGCAGCAGUGGGGAAUAUUGGACAAUGGGGGCAACCCUGAUCCAGCAAUGCCGCGUGAGUGAUGAAG
rnacentral:rRNA from 1 species